rnacentral:tRNA from 1 species
UGCCGGUUAGCUCAGUUGGUUAGAGCGUGGUGCUAAUAACGCCAAGGUCGUGGGUUCGAUCCCCAUACUGGCCA